UAAAUCCAUUCAUUCAUUCAGCAAAUAUUUGGUUGAGCCUCAACUAUGUGCCAGGCACUAGUUGAGGCAUGGGGAUUGAGCAUGAACAGGAAUGACAGGGUCCCUGCAUUCAAGGAGAUACCAUACCAUCCUCUUUGGAGGAAAAAGAGAGACGAUUUUAUUUGUUUGGUCUGGUUUUUGAGUGAUGUAGGGUGGCCUGGGAAUAGGCGUUCCAGAAGACAGAGAAGAGCAUAUACAAGCUUAAGACCCUGGAUGACAUGGAGCGUGGUACUCACGUGUCCCAGAAGCCAGUGUAACCACAGCCCAGUGAGAAAGGGGACAGGUCCAGACUGGGGGCCUUGUAGACAGGUUAAAGAUAUUCAUCUCUCUCCCAAGAACAAAGGGAAGCCAUUUUGGACAGGAGACUGAUGAGCAGAUUGCCAGUCCUGGAUGUACCUCAGCGUCUGACUGCUUAUCCAGUUGUUUAUCCUGGUGAGGCAUCUCUCAGCUGGCAGAUCAGUCACAGAUCUGGUUUUUGUUUUGCUUUGUUUUUCUCUUCUAAGUAUUGCUGAGCAAGACCUGCAUUUUGACUUCCCUUCCACCCUCACAAUUCACUUUGUCUGGGAGAGUCUUCUACUUCUCCCCCUUCCAAUUUUCAGACCAACUAGUGACAGCCAUCCUUAGAGGAAACUGACAUUAUUAAGAGCAUGGGGUUUGCAGAGCAGGUAUGCCUGAACACUCAGGAAGUUUUAGAGGCGAGCUUAAAUUUCAACAUCACACCAGAAGAUGGUACGAAAACAUUUCUCUUUGUCAGAGUGGAGGGGUUUGCCUCUACCCCAGUCCAAAGGGGACUUCAUUCCAAAGGGGAAAUCUGGGAAUUGCUAACUCCAGUUUGUCUUCUUUCUUUCCUUCUGGAUUGCCUGUUGCCCUGGAUGCCAUGAAAUUCGGAGGAACAACUCCCUUCCCUGGACUCCAGUAGUGACUGCAUCUCUGGGCUGUUGUGCAGAAGUACCCCAGGGGAACUACCCCAGGCUGGGUGUGGCCGGGGAAACUCAGCUCCCCGGUCAUGCACAGAGCUCAUGUCUGGUGUAUGCAAAACCCCAAGCCGAAUGACUCAUUGGAAUCACAAUGAAGCCCAGCUCAAGAGGCUGUACCAGUUUACAUUCCCCACAAGAGGUUGCCAAGUAUUUUUGUCAAACUGACAGAAAUUCAGACACAAGAAGAAAACAAUCAAGGAUAUGUUCAUCAGUUCUGCAUGUGGCAUAAAGUUGGGAGAGAGCUGAAAAACUGAUGACUGAAGCAAGAUUUAAAAGGAUAUUGCAGUUUGGGAGGAUGGCCUGAAAUCAAGAAAAAUGUAAAAUUUUGUAUAAAAAAUA